rnacentral:rRNA from 1 species
AGUGAACGCUGGCGGUAGGCCUAACACAUGCAAGUCGAACGGCAGCACAGUAAGAGCUUGCUCUUACGGGUGGCGAGUGGCGGACGGGUGAGGAAUACAUCGGAAUCUACUUUUUCGUGGGGGAUAACGUAGGGAAACUUACGCUAAUACCGCAUACGACCUACGGGUGAAAGCAGGGGAUCUUCGGACCUUGCGCGAUUGAAUGAGCCGAUGUCGGAUUAGCUAGUUGGCGGGGUAAAGGCCCACCAAGGCGACGAUCCGUAGCUGGUCUGAGAGGAUGAUCAGCCACACUGGAACUGGGACACGGUCCAGACUCCUACGGGAGGCAGCAGUGGGGAAUAUUGGACAGUGGGCGCAAGCCUGAUCCAGCCAUACCGCGUGGGUGAAGAAGGCCUUCGGGUUGUAAAGCCCUUUUGUUGGGAAAGAAAAGCAGCAGGUUAAUACCCCGCUGUUCUGACGGUACCCAAAGAAUAAGCACCGGCUAACUUCGU